UGUGUUUAGAUGUAUUCAGUUUGUAUGAGAGGAGGUAGUUACAAGUUAGAAAGCAAACAAAAGUUUUUUAGAUUCCAAACCCUGAAAUUUAAGUGGAUGAAUUUGUUACAAGGAAAAAAAAUAAAAGUCUUACUCAACUAUUUCUGUUUCCUAAUGACAAACUUUAUAUCAUAUUUGAAAGUAAGCCUAUCUUUGGAAAAAUGAGUACAAGUCUCCACUAAGAAACAAACUAAAUGUAAAAGAAAACAAAGGGAAACUGGAGUGAAGCUGGAACAGUAGCAGUGGAGUAAGCUACUCUAUGGAGAUGAUGAAACAACUGCUCUGGACUCUAUAGCAGGACCAGCUGCUGUCUCAUAUAGGCAGUCCCCAUAGCACAGCCAGCUGAUGGCACUGAAUGGUAGGAAGAGGAGAAUCCUGUGGCAAAAGCAAGGUCCCGAAAACAGCAGCACUAUCUAACUCGUUCCCAGCCUUGCAUGCAAGAACCUCAGAGUGAGUGACCAUCUGCAAACUACCAUGCAUUCCGUGAUGAGGGGAGAGAAGCAAGUCUGCGUAGUUCUACAGCAGUUCUCCCUCUACCAGAUGCAUCCUAAACCCUUUGGUAAAUUCAUCCCAGGUGGCUGCUCGGCACUCUGCCCAGCAGUUAAGAAAUUAUUUGAGAUAUGCUGUUUUCUGAUGCUUCCCUCUUUAUGAUUGCUUAAUUGGGAGAUUGCAUUAAUUUGAUUUUAUCAAGGUAAGGUAUGUGUAAAAAAUUAAAUUCUCCCCCCUCAAAAACAAUCGAAUCAAUUAAUUCACAAUAACACUCUUUUUAUUUUGCCUUUAUCCCAGAUAUUUCCCUUUGUUCUAUUCUAAACUGUUUUCUCCCUGUUUUCUUGGUGUAUAAUCUUGAAACUAUUAGUGUAUCUUUACACGGUUGCCUGGCUUUUGCUGAGGCAGUUUUUUCUCUUUUUUUUUGCUUUAUGUAAAACUUGUAUAACAAUGACAAAACCAACAAUUAUUAAGGAUACCUCAUUCUGCUGAUAUGAUAUUCUUAAGACCACUCCCACUCAUUUUAGUUUUCCAUACCUUAAAACAGCAGGGGGGCCUGACUCUAUCUUCUGUGCUGGUUUUCUCAUUU
ensembl:lncRNA